rnacentral:piRNA from 1 species
UUUCAAGUUGGUUUUACCCUUGACUUUGGGC